rnacentral:rRNA from 1 species
GCUUAACACAUGCAAGUCGAACGGAAAGGCCCUGCUUGCAGGGUACUCGAGUGGCGAACGGGUGAGUAACACGUGGGUGAUCUGCCCUGCACUUCGGGAUAAGCUUGGGAAACUGGGUCUAAUACCGGAUAGGAGCCAUCUUUAGUGUGGUGGUUGGAAAGUUUUUUCGGUGUAGGAUGAGCUCGCGGCCUAUCAGCUUGUUGGUGGGGUAAUGGCCUACCAAGGCGGCGACGGGUAGCCGGCCUGAGAGGGUGUACGGCCACAUUGGGACUGAGAUACGGCCCAGACUCCUACGGGAGGCAGCAGUGGGGAAUAUUGCACAAUGGGCGCAAGCCUGAUGCAGCGACGCCGCGUGGGGGAUGAAGGCCUUCGGGUUGUAAACUCCUUUCGCUAGGGACGAAGCUUUGUGUGACGGUACCUAGAUAAGAAGCACCGGCUAACUACGUGCCAGCAGCCGCGGUAAUACGUAGGGUGCGAGCGUUGUCCGGAAUUACUGGGCGUAAAGAGCUCGUAGGUGGUUUGUCGCGUCGUCUGUGAAAUUCUGGGGCUUAACUCCGGGCGUGCAGGCGAUACGGGCAUAACUUGAGUGCUGUAGGGGUAACUGGAAUUCCUGGUGUAGCGGUGAAAUGCGCAGAUAUCAGGAGGAACACCGAUGGCGAAGGCAGGUUACUGGGCAGUUACUGUCGCUGAGGAGCGAAAG